rnacentral:sRNA from 1 species
ACCACUUUUUAAUCGAGUAGGUGAACGAUAGCUGGUGAUAAGGAAAUUUACGCAAUUAACGUACGGAGAUUUAUUUACAAUUUUAACUUCUAUAGAAAUGCAAAAUAAGAACAGCUCAUUCAAAGUAUAUGACUAAAGCUUAAUGAAAAUGACAGAUUGCAUAAGUCCAAUAUAAUCGUCUUCAUCUGGUAGGGCACAGAACGCGCAGAUGAUACGUCCGCUCGGCUCGAGCGCGCAAUUCGGAAUAAACACGCUUGCAAUCGUUGCUCUUUAAUUA